UCCCAAAUAUACACCCCAUGUGUCUUCUUCUAUGUUUCUGGUUUAGAUCAACACAGAGUAUCGGUCCGAGUUUGCUUAUUGCCUUGAGUCUCUGUUGCUGCUGGGCCAAAGACGCUCUGUGUCCAUUGCUGGGAGUGUCGGGAUUGAGUUUGGGCAAUGCCAGUGGACUCCUGCAGUCGUCCCUGUUCGUGCCCUGCCACUCACCUCCCAUCAGUGACAUGUCCCUGGGUUCAUCCGUGGUGCCGAAGCCCACCGCUAUAUCAUCACCACGGUCCUCCUGGUAAAGGUUGGGGAGACCCCAUUUACUGAGCACUGUCGCAACUAUGAGAACAGCUACAGGACGCUGCAGACAUCCAUUCAGCAGCUGAAGGACCAGGUGCAGGAGACCCACAGGGAUCUGACCAAGCACCCCUCCCUCAUCAAGACCGACACUGUGGAAGACAUCCUGGAUACCUUCGUACAGCCAUAUCUCCUCUGAGUACUCUGCAGUGGAACUCAUGAGGGCUAUGUUUGAGGAGGCUCAUCUCCAUCUUGUUAUCCUUCCCCUAAGUCUGGGAGGAGAUCUUUCAGAGGGUUGCAAAAGAACAGAAAAUCAAUGAAGCUUCAUGAUCUGACGCAGCUAAAGGAAGAGAACAGAUACCCGACCACCAUCAGCAGGCAAAUCGGCCCCUACAUCCGAUCCGUCGCCAAGGUGAAGGAACGCCUUGAACCCAGACUGAAAGAGCCUAAGGAGCUGAAAGAUGACUGUACAGAGGACAUGCUGAAGACCUAUGAGGACACCACUAUGGCCACAGAUACUAAACAAACCAUUUUAACAACACAGAUAAAUGACCUGACCUGUACCACAGAUGAUAACAACUCUCAGCAACCUCUCUGACGAGGCUGCCCUCAAGAACAAGAAUCUAUUGGCCAGGGAAGCAGAAGAACAGAUUUGGAAGAUGUCUCCCUAAGCAACUGGAUGGGGUCAUGAGACUUCAAUGUGCUCACCCAUAACUUAUGUAAAUUAUAUUGAAUAUAACAUUUACAUGUUUCUAAUAUGAUCCAUAUUAGGACUACAGUAGCAAACCCAUGAAAGAAAACAAUGAAAGGAAGACAAUUUUCUUAGGAUAAAUGUAUUUUAUUUCACAGGACAAUGUUCAAUCAAUUCAGAACAUCUCAGUCAAGUGAAAAGUAAUCAGCCAAGAGAUGGAUAAGUAUUAUCUCUGCAUGAUACAUUUAGAUUACCUGUAAUAAACUGUAGUAUUGUUAUACUGUAGUGCAACAACUGGCUUUUUCCAUGUUCAGCUCAGCUGGAUCAUGCUUGGAGCAGUAAACAGUUGUACAUCUGCAGCCAACAAUGUGCUUAUAUUAUUGAAUCUACAGAUAAUCUUCUCAUCUUUAUUCAUCUAAUACACAUUACUUUUACAGUGCUCUUGACUGUCCUCAUUUCAGAAACUCUAAAAACACACACACUUGUCUUGUGCAACAUACAGUUACAGUGCUCGACUGUUCUAAUUUCAGGAAUUCUCUUUCAAUCACACACACACACUCCAUACAGUCUGGGCAUACAGAGGAGAGGGCAGAGGCAACCUUUCACCUGAGACAAGCGGUAGUUCAGGAGGAAGCAAUGCUGGGUUGAGCUUAUCGCAAAGGAGACAACCUUUCCUCUGAACCCCUUAGCCAUAGGAAUGCAUCUUUUGGUUGGUUUCAAUACAAAUAAAUAACAGGUGGAGUGAUGAUCAAGUGGUGGUUGAAAGAGUCUUUCUUGAGUGCAUUUUAAA